CUACGGGGGGCUGCAGUGAGGAAUAUUGCGCAAUGGGCGAAAGCCUGACGCAGCAACGCCGCGUGGAGGAUGAAGGUUCUUGGAUCGUAAACUCCUGUUAAGUGGGAAGAAAGCCCUUCUUUUAAUAGAUGAAGGGGAUGACGGUACCAUUAGAGAAAGCACCGGCUAACUUCGUGCCAGCAGCCGCGGUAAUACGAGGGGUGCAAGCGUUAUUCGGAAUUAUUGGGCGUAAAGGGUGUGUAGACGGCAUGCUAAGUCGAUUGUUAAAUCUUCCGGCCUAACCGGAAUUCAGCGUUCGAUACUGGCAAGCUAGAGGGUGAGAGAGAGAAGUGGAAUUCUCGGAGUAGCGGUAAAAUGCGUAGAUCUCGAGAGGAACACCAAUGGCGAAGGCAGCUUCUUGGCUCACUCCUGACGUUGAGACACGAAAGCGUGGGGAGCAAACAGGAUUAGAUACCCCAGUAGUC
rnacentral:rRNA from 1 species